UUUAAUAAUUUAUAAUUCCUUAUCAUUUUGUGUCAUUUACGUUUUUAUCUCCAUUUGCGACGUCCUGCCAACAAAAACAUAAAACAACAACAACAACAACAACUAUCGCUAUAUACAGUUGACUGUAAGUUGGUGACACCCUGUCGCAACUCUUCGUACGCCAACUAUUCGCAAAUGCCCUGCCUCUGUUCAUUCUUGUACGUGCGUAUGCUCAUUCGCUGUGGUGACUUUUCCUGGCUGUGUGCCGCAUGGUGCUCGGUAACUUGCGGCCAAGGCUUGCAAAUGCGUGGCGUUGAAUGCAAAUCAUCCACCGGCAGUGCCGCCCACUUGGGAGACCCGCAUCCGUGCAGCCAUACGCGACGGGCAACUCUUAUGAUGGCGGUGGUACAGUUAUACUCGGCAGCAGCGGGCCACUCGCAGCGUCUGCGCCAUACCUUACCUUCCCUUCUCUAGCAGUUCGAUGAUGGUGAUCUCGACGUGGAGGAGGAUGAGGACAAUGAUGAUUCUGCGGAUGUUGACGAUGUCGACGACGAAGGCGUUGACGAAGCUGGCGAUGCCGGCAAUGAUAAUGCCGGUUUAGUGUUAUACAUACAACGAUGAUUCCGCACCGCAGUACGCACAUCGCUCGAUCAGUCAUUUGCAUCAUGAUGAGCUGCAACAGCCGCGUGCCGAACGCCUUACUAGCGGUGGUGUUGGAUAUGGUUAUCGCAGUAAAUCG